GAUGAACGCUGGCGGCGUGCCUAAUACAUGCAAGUCGAGCGAACGGACGAGAAGCUUGCUUUUCUGAUGUUAGCGGCGGACGGGUGAGUAACACGUGGAUAACCUACCUAUAAGACUGGGAUAACUUCGGGAAACCGGAGCUAAUACCGGAUAAUAUUUUGAACCGCAUGGUUCAAAAGUGAAAGACGGUCUUGCUGUCACUUAUAGAUGGAUCCGCGCUGCAUUAGCUAGUUGGUAAGGUAACGGCUUACCAAGGCAACGAUGCAUAGCCGACCGGAGAGGGGGAUCGGCCACACGGGAACUGGGACCGGGUCCAGCCUCCUACGGGAGGAAGCAGUAGGGAAUCUUCCGCAAUGGGCGAAAGCCUGACGGAGCAACGCCGCGUGAGUGAUGAAGGUCUUCGGAUCGUAAAACUCUGUUAUUAGGGAAGAACAUAUGUGUAAGUAACUGUGCACAUCUUGACGGUACCUAAUCAGAAAGCCACGGCUAACUACGUG
rnacentral:rRNA from 1 species